UGAAUCUUUGAACGCACCUUGCACCUUUUGGUAUUCCAAAAGGUACACCUGUUUGAGUGUCAUGAAACCCUCUC
rnacentral:rRNA from 1 species